AAGAUCACUGGAGAAGUGCCAGUCAUAAUCUUCCCCUUAUUGAUUCUGGUCAGCAGCUAUUGACAGCUUUAAAAAGAUUAUGUUUUAAUUGGGGAUCAGAUAGAUGGCAUUUUAAGAGUAGUCAAAGCUAUCUUGCAGUAUUUGGAACAAAUCUCAAGCAAUACAUUUCAGGCUCAAGACAGAAAAAACUACAGCCUCCCUGAAAACUUCUGCAUUUGUGGAACCAGCUCUGUGUCCCAUCCCCUUGGCAGCCUGUCACAGCUCAGAGGACAUCUGAAGGCUACUGAGAAUCACAAGAAUACUCUUACAUCCUAAGAAUUCUUUGCUUCUGCAAUAGCUUGAGGGUGCCAGAGUCGCUGUGGAUGGCUGCAUUAAACCUUGACACUGCCCAUGGUUACCAGCAGAUCUUGUCAGCAAAACAUCCUAAGAGCAGCGUGCAUGUAGCUUGUCAUAUUAGAGAGAAAACAUUCCUCUUAGCCCCAUGUGAGGGAUCUAUAUUUGCAUUCAUCCUGCCUAGAUCUGAGAUUUUUACAUGGAAUCAUGUGAAGCUGCAAUUAAAACCAGAAGCUUGGCUCCCUUUUCAGGUUUUUACUCAGUAAUAGAUUAUUUUACCUGCAGAUAGCAGCAAACUCCUAUACAUUGUAGAAUGAGAUCUUAGU